rnacentral:rRNA from 1 species
AUUGAACGCUGGCGGCAGGCCUAACACAUGCAAGUCGAGCGAGCGGCGGACGGGUGAGUAAUGUAUGGGGAUCUGCCCGAUAGAGGGGGAUAACUACUGGAAACGGUGGCUAAUACCGCAUACCAUACGGUGAACCGUUAUGGGAUUAGCUUGUAGGUGAGGUAACGGCUCACCUAGGCGACGAGUCCUAGUGUGGCUGAGAGGCUGGUCAGCCACACUGGGACUGAGACACGGCCAAGACGCAUACGGGAGGCAGCAGUGGGGAAUAUUGCACAAUGGGCGAAAGCCUGAUUCAGCCAUGCCGCGUGUAUGAAGAAGGCCUUCGGGUUGUAAAGUACUUUCAGUCGGGAGGCGUUACCGACAGAAGAAGCACCGGCUAACUCCGUGCCAGCAGCCGCGGUAAUUC